rnacentral:snoRNA from 1 species
ACCCUCCAGAUGCCUUCCCUCUCAGAUCUAAAUAUUGGUCUGAGUGGCCGAAAAAGGAGGGAAAGUAAAAUGAAGUGGACUUGGAGCCUUCAGUGGUGUACAAGUUUAUUUCAAACAUCA